rnacentral:rRNA from 1 species
UCGGUUAGCGGCGGACGGGUGAGUAACACGUGGGCAACCUGCCCUGUAGACGGGGAUAACACCGAGAAAUCGGUGCUAAUACCGGAUAAUACGGAAUGUCGCAUGACGUUUCGUUGAAAGGCGGCGCAAGCUGUCGCUACAGGAUGGGCCCGCGGCGCAUUAGCUAGUUGGUGAGGUAACGGCUCACCAAGGCGACGAUGCGUAGCCGACCUGAGAGGGUGAACGGCCACACUGGGACUGAGACACGGCCCAGACUCCUACGGGAGGCAGCAGUAGGGAAUCUUCCGCAAUGGACGAAAGUCUGACGGAGCAACGCCGCGUGAGUGAGGAAGGUCUUCGGAUCGUAAAACUCUGUUGUCAGGGAAGAACCGCCGGGAUGACCUCUCGGUCUGACGGUACCUGACGAGAAAGCCCCGGCUAACUACGUGCCAGCAGCCGCGGUAAUACGUAGGGGGCAAGCGUUGUCCGGAAUUAUUGGGCGUAAAGCGCGCGCAGGCGGCUUCUUAAGUCAGGUGUGAAAGCCCACGGCUCAACCGUGGAGGGCCAUCUGAAACUGGGGAGCUUGAGUGCAGGAGAGGAGAGCGGAAUUCCACGUGUAGCGGUGAAAUGCGUAGAGAUGUGGAGGAACACCAGUGGCGAAGGCGGCUUUCUGGUCUGUAACUGACGCUGAGGCGCGAAAGCGUGGGGAGCAAACAGGGAUUAGAUACCCUGGUAGUCCACGCCGUAAACGAUGAGUGCUAGGUGUUGGGGGUUUUAAAUACCCUCA